AAUGGAUGAAAUAAUAGAUACAGAUAUAGCAUUAGCAUCUAACAAAAAAUCUAGGAUGUAACUAGAAUGUUGUGUGGUCAAUUCCUGCUUCGUAUAUAUCAACUAGACUACUAGAGAAGGUUUAGACCAACUUGGCAUGACAAGAUUAUUAUAAUUAGAAGUAGACUAGCGUUAUCCAUCUAUUACUCAGAACAGAACCAGUUCAUGAAAUUACUCAACAUAUACAUUAUUGCCCACUUAAAAAACUAGGCAAGCUAGCAAGAAAGUGUCACCUAACAUUCAAA
rnacentral:misc_RNA from 1 species